rnacentral:misc_RNA from 1 species
AAAAAAAAAAAAAAAAAAACCUGACCAAUCUUGGAUGAGUGUUGCAGGUCAUAUACUGAUCAUUUCUUGAUUUAAAUUAAUGAUAGGAUAAAGAGGCCUUACCAUAAGUAUUCUUUUUAUGGGUCUGCAUUUUCUUUUUUCUAUUUUUUUUCCUCUCUGAGUGAGUCCACCAAAGAAAGAAGAAAGAAGAAAGAGGGAGAGAGGGGCAGUUCCUGCCAUGGAAAUUCUCGACAAAGAGACAAGAUGGACAGAGCCCGUUUCAGCAAUGAGACACAGACUCUGCAAGGGCCUUAAGAGUGCUUUUCUUUUCUCUUUUUAGUAUCUAUCCCCAUUCUCUUUUCAGGCUUGAUCCAAUAGAACUUAGUGUCCCUCUUUUUCGCUUCCCUCUCUUCAUUCACCUUUUCUUUUUAGAGAAACGCAUGCUAAUUUUGUGAUAACGUCAUCCUCUCAUCUCUCUCACUCUCUCUUUCUAAAACCCAAAUAGAAAAAAAAUACUAAUUUCCAAUUCUCUAGCAAGCCUAUGUUUCUUUUUUUCUUCUCUUCUUA